CUUGCAGCUAACGCAUUUAAGCACUCCGCCUGGGGAGUACGGUCGCAAGACUGAAACUCAAAGGAAUUUGACGGGGGCCCGCACAAGCGGUGGAGCAUGUGGUUUAAUUUCGAAGCAACGCGAAGAACCUUUACCAGGUCUUGACAUCCUCUGACAAUCCUAGAGAUAGGACGUCCCCUUCGGGGGCAGAGUGACAGGUGGUGCAUGGUUGUCGUCAGCUCGUGUCGUGAGAUGUUGGGUUAAGUCCCGCAACGAGCGCAACCCUUGAUCUUAGUUGCCAGCAUUCAGUUGGGCACUCUAAGGUGACUGCCGGUGACAAAC
rnacentral:rRNA from 1 species